UGGGGAAUAUUGGACAAUGGGGGGAACCCUGAUCCAGCCAUGCCGCGUGUGUGAAGAAGGCCUUAUGGUUGUAAAGCACUUUAAGCGAGGAGGAGGGUACUGGUAUUAAUACUACCAGGUACUGGACGUUACUCGCAGAAUAAGCACUGGCUAACUCUGUGCCAGCAGCCGCGGUAAUACAGAGGGUGCGAGCGUUAAUCGGAUUUACUGGGCGUAAAGCGUGCGUAGGCGGCUAAUUGAGUCGGAUGUGAAAUCCCCGAGCUUAACUUGGGAAUUGCAUUGGAUACUGGUUAGCUAGAGUGUGGGGGAGGAUGGUAGAAUUCCAGGUGUAGCGGUGAAAUGCGUAGAGAUCUGGAAGAAUACCGAUUGCGAAGGCAGCCAUCUGGCCUAACACUGACGCUGAGGUACGAAAGCAUGGGGAGCAAACAGG
rnacentral:rRNA from 1 species